rnacentral:lncRNA from 1 species
UGUGGACCUAUGGGGUACCCCGAAACCACCGGUGUCUCCAGGAAUUAUGGGGCGCCUCGAAACCACCAGUGUCUCCUGGGUCUAUGGGGUGCCUCGAAACCCCCAAUUUCUCCAUGGACCUAUGGGGUACCCCAAAACUGUUGGUGUCUCCUGGACCUAUGGGGGAGCCUUGAAACCCCCAAUUUCUCCCUGGACCUAUGGGGAGCCCCGAAACCGUCAACUUUUCCCAGGACUUAUGGGGCACCCCGAAACUGCCAGUGUCCCCAUGGACCUAUGGGGAGCCUCGAAACCCCCAAUACAUCCAAAGAUCUAUGGGGUACCCCAAAACCAUGAUAGACUUAUGGGGCACCUUGAAACCGACAGUGUCUCCUGGAUCUAUGGGGUGCCUCGAAACCCCCAAUUUCUCUGUGGACCUAUGGGGUACCCCGAAACCACCGGUGUCUCCUGGAUCUAUGGGGUGCCUUGAAACCCCCAGUGUCUCCUGGAUCUAU